ACAGAGCGCCGGAUGCCGGAAAGUUGGUCAAACUUGAUCAUUUAGAGGAAGUAAAAGUCGUAACAAGGUUUCCGUAGGUGAACCUGCGGAAGGAUCAUUACCGAUACCGUCCAAGAAAAAAACAACUUUGCGUUGUUUUUUUGCCCUGUGAACUGUACCCAAUCGUUUAGGGGUCGGCCUGGCCGUUAAAUGGCGAGCGGACGCGAGGCAAUGCUCGCGGCCGUCCUCGCCAGCCCCGCCUGUGUUUUUUUUUAACGUACGUGUCUACGGUCUGAUGUUGCGGCCUGAUGAGGGCCGAGAGUUGGAAAUGCAAGAGACAACUUUUGACGGUGGAUCUCUUGGCUCACGCAUCGAUGAAGAACGCAGCCAGCUGCGAUAAGUAGUGUGAAUUGCAGAAUUCAAUGAAUCAUCGAAUCUUUGAACGCAAAUGGCGCUCUUGGGUUCUCCCAGGAGCAUGUCUGUCUGAGUGUCAGAUAUCAUCCAUCGCAAGCACGGUGCGCCAGCCCGUGCUCGCGGCGUUGAGGCGUCACGGCCGCCGCACAGUGUCGGCCGUGUCCCUUGAAAGGCAGAGAGACUCGCCGCGGUCCGUGGGUUUGAUUCAUUCCCGCGGCGCACCAGCGGAGGCCAAAAGUGUUGGCAGUCCUUCGCGCGCCGUCGGGGCCCCGCCGCGCGAGUCGUCCAGGCGAGACAUCUAUCUAUCUUUCUUGACCUCAGAU
rnacentral:misc_RNA from 1 species